rnacentral:rRNA from 1 species
GCAGUCGUGCGCCUCCAAGCCAUGGUGGAGACGCGGCAUCCGGCUCAGUAACACGUGGCUAACCCACCCUUGAGACGGAGAAAACCCCGGGAAACUGGGGUUAAUCUCCGAUAAGAGAAGACACCUGGAAUGGAUCUCCUCUCAAAGGGCGCCUAGACCAUGCUUCUGGGCGUUGCUCAAGGACGGGGCCGCGGCCGAUCAGGUUGUUGGUGAGGUAACGGCUCACCAAGCCUAUAACCGGUACGGGCCGUGAGAGCGGGAGCCCGGAGAUGGGCACUGAGACAAGGGCCCAGGCCCUACGGGGCGCAGCAGUUGCGAAAACUCCGCAAUGCACGAAAGUGUGACGGGGCUACCCCGAGUGCCGUCCGCUGAGGGCGGCUUUUCCCCGGUGUAAGGAGCCGGGGGAAUAAGGAGAGGGCAAGUCUGGUGUCAGCCGCCGCGGUAAUACCAGCUCUCCGAGUGGUAGGGAUGAUUAUUGGGCUUAAAGCGUCCGUAGCCGGCUCGGCAAGUCUUCCGUUAAAUCCAACGAUUCAAUCGUUGGACUGCUGGAGAUACUGUUGGGCUAGGAGGCGGGAGAGGCCGACGGUAUUCUCGGGGUAGGAGUAAAAUCCUAUAAUCCCGGGAGGACCACCAGUGGCGAAGGCGGUCGGCUAGAACGCGCUCGACGGUGAGGGACGAAAGCUGGGGGAGCGAACCGGAUUAGAUACCCGGGUAGUCCCAGCUGUAAACGAUGCGGGCUAGGUGUU